UACGUAGGGUGCGAGCGUUAAUCGGAAUUACUGGGCGUAAAGCGUGCGCAGGCGGUUGUGCAAGACCGAUGUGAAAUCCCCGGGCUUAACCUGGGAAUGGCAUUGGUGACUGCACGGCUAGAGUGUGUCAGAGGGGGGUAGAAUUCCACGUGUAGCAGUGAAAUGCGUAGAUAUGUGGAGGAAUACCGAUGGCGAAGGCAGCCCCCUGGGAUAACACUGACGCUCAUGCACGAAAGCGUGGGGAGCAAACAGG
rnacentral:rRNA from 1 species